UACGUAGGGUGCAAGCGUUAAUCGGAAUUACUGGGCGUAAAGCGUGCGCAGGCGGUUUUGUAAGUCUGACGUGAAAUCCCCGGGCUUAACCUGGGAAUUGCGUUGGAGACUGCAAGGCUAGAAUCUGGCAGAGGGGGGUAGAAUUCCACGUGUAGCAGUGAAAUGCGUAGAGAUGUGGAGGAACACCGAUGGCGAAGGCAGCCCCCUGGGUUAAGAUUGACGCUCAUGCACGAAAGCGUGGGGAGCAAACAGG
rnacentral:rRNA from 1 species